GGAAUAUUGGACAAUGGGCGCAAGCCUGAUCCAGCCAUGCCGCGUGAGUGAUGAAGGCCUUAGGGUUGUAAAGCUCUUUCAGUAGGGAAGAUAAUGACGGUAGUCGGAGAAGAAGCCCCGGCUAACUUCGUGCCAGCAGCCGCGGUAAUACGAAGGGGGCUAGCGUUGUUCGGAAUUACUGGGCGUAAAGCGCACGUAGGCGGAUAUUUAAGUCAGGGGUGAAAUCCCGCAGCUCAACUGCGGAACUGCCUUUGAUACUGGGUAUCUCGAGUAUGGAAGAGGUGAGUGGAAUUCCGAGUGUAGAGGUGAAAUUCGUAGAUAUUCGGAGGAACACCAGUGGCGAAGGCGGCUCACUGGUCCAUUACUGACGCUGAGGUGCGAAAGCGUGGGGAGCAAA
rnacentral:rRNA from 1 species